AGGAAGGUCAACGUGUAUCACAACACCUCUGACCUGCUUGCAUUACAACAUCGUUUUUUCAGAAACCGAACAAAGAUGAAUAAUGGCCUAUUGAAAACUGGAGACCUCAGUCUGACCCUGAAAUACCCCACAGACUGGGACAGAGGAAUCUACACCUGUACUGUCUACAACAGGUAUAGAAAGAUCCGGAUGAAGAAACAAGUGGAGCUGAAAGUCGGAGUCUGUCAGGUGGAGGUGGAGGAGGGGAUGGAGUCUGUCCAGCUGCCCUUUAUAAAUACAGAAAACCUGCCUGAAGAUGCUAAAGUGGAGUGGAGACACUAUGAACCAUUUAGGACCGUUUAUGUGUAUCAAAACGGCUCUGACCAGCCUGACAAACAGGACCAAGUUUAUGUGGACCGAAUACAGAUGAAUGAAGACCUGCUGAAAACUGGAGACCUCAGUCUGACCCUGAAACAGCCCACAGUGACAGACAGUGGAGAAUACAGAUGUGAAGUGGACAGCAGGAAUAUCUACAGAUACAAAACGGUGCUGCUUAAAGUCAAAGGGAGAGUUCAGGUCCAGGAUCAAACAGGGGACAUCAGGAACAGAAGCAGCUCCAUUGAUCCGACUCCUCUGAUGGCUGAUCAAUCAGUUUGAUCUGUGUGUUCUUUGAUUAUUGAUCAGUGAUGUCAGAGUGGAGUCAGUGUGAUGUUGUUGUUGUGUGUUUGAGACUUUUAGUGUCCAUGAAGGUCUCUGCUGCCGUAAAUCCUCUGAACUGUGACAGAGGUCUCACUCUGGAGGAAACUCUCAGCACUUUCCAGCAGCUCCUCCAUCAUGGAGGACGUUCCCUCACUGUAACAGGUGGAGGAGAGAGGAGAGGAAGCACAGGUGGAUCCUCUGAGGAAGAGGAGCGUUCGUACAAACCACAUGAUCACAUGACCAGAAUGGUAUAGCUACAAAGUCAGAUUAAUGGGUUUGCAGGUGUCCUUAAAGUCAGAGUUCUCAGAUACAGAAAACUGUCACUCUUUUUACCUGUUAUGUCACCGUGGUAACUGAAUGAAACAAUG
ensembl:lncRNA